AAAUAAGUAAGCUAAUUUAUAAGCUUUUAGGCUCAUACCCUAACUAUAGAACUUCUUCUCUUAUUUA
rnacentral:tRNA from 1 species